rnacentral:rRNA from 1 species
CAAUAGCGUAUAUUAAAGUUGUUGCAGUUAAAAAGCUCGUAGUCGGACUUCUGGCCGUGAGCGCGGGUCCGCCGCAAGGUGUGCACUCGCGUUGGCGGCCAUCCUCUCGAGGAGGCGGCGUGCUCUUUAUUGAGUGUGUCGUCGACUCGGGACCUUUACUUUGAAAAAAUUAGAGUGUUCAAAGCAGGCCUUCGCUUGAAUACAUUAGCAUGGAAUAAUGGAAUAGGACUUUGGUUCUAUUUUGUUGGUUUCUAGGACCGAAGUAAUGAUUAAUAGGGAUAGUUGGGGGCAUUAGUAUUUAAUUGUCAGAGGUGAAAUUCUUGGAUUUAUGAAAGACUAACAUCUGCGAAAGCAUUUGCCAAGGAUGUUUUCAUUNA